rnacentral:lncRNA from 1 species
UAGCAUCGAAAAGCUAGUUUAGUUUUUGGUUUUUAUGUCUACAAUUUCAAUUUCUUCAUGUCUUCUAUCUAUUUAAGGAUGCAUAUUAUUGUAAACCGUGUUUUUUGGGGUUGAAUAAAUCUUACAUUUAUGAUUUAUCAUUUACAUUUGACUAUACACAUUUGAUAUUCAAAAAAAAAAAAUUAAACUAAAAGAGUCCUAAAAGUAGUUAAAUUAAGGAAAAACCCCGUCAAAAAUGUACAUUUAUGUCACAUUUGAUUUUAUGUCUACAAUUUCAAUUUCUUCAAUUCUUCUAUAUAUCUAAGGAUGCAUAUUAUGGUAAACAAUGUUCUUGGGGUUGAAUAAAUUUUACAUUUAUGAAUUUAAAUUUACAUUUGAC